rnacentral:misc_RNA from 1 species
UUGGCAACUCAACCCGCCUUGAUCGUUAUGCUUCCUCCUUCGCCAUUUCGUUUGAAUUAAUGUCGUUUAAAUUUAAUUAAAUUUGUUAUUAAACUGUGACUCUUCAAUUAAAAUCCAAGAUGAGUUACUCAAGAGGUGCUCCUAAUAUUGAUGGAAUGACUUCUUUAAAGGUGGAUAACUUAACGUACCGCACUACACCUGAAGAUUUAAAACGAGUUUUUGAAAAGUACGGCGAUGUUGGAGAUGUUUAUAUUCCAAGACAUCCAUAUACCAGAGAGAGCAGAGGGUUUGCUUUUGUUCGCUUUUACGAUAAUCGAGAUGCAGAAGACGCUAUGGAUUCUUUGGAUGGCUAUAUCUUAGAUGGACGUGAAUUGAGAGUUCAAAUGGCUAGAUAUGGUCGACCUGGUGAUCCUAGGCGAGGUUCAAGAUCAAGACGCCGGCGUUCCCGCUCCAGAUCACGUAGCAGAAGCCGACGACGAUCUCGCUCCAGAUCUAGGAGGUCCAGAUCAAGAUCACGAUCAAGACGUCAUCGUAGUCGCUCUAGAAGUCGUUCUGGUAGUCGUCAUCGUCGAGAUGAGAGAUCUAGAUCUGAUAGUGCUGGGAAAAAGAAGAGAGAUAGUAAGUCCAAAAGCCGAUCUAGGAGCAUAAGUAGAGAUAAAAAUGGUGAAAGGGAAAGAAGUUUAAGUCGAAGCAAGUCUCGAAGUAGAAGCAGAAGUGCAAGCCUUGAUAAGGAAGUCAAGAAUGAUAUUGACUUGAGAGAUGGAAGCCGAAGUCGAUCUCACAGCAUUGAAGCUGAAAUUUAAGCUCCAUUAGUAACCACAAGAAUUCAUCUGUCAUCUUCUAAAAUGUGAAAGUGCAGCCCUUUUUUAAAGGCGCAGUAGUAUGCUGUAAUUGGUGAGCUGUGGCAGUCACAUGGUGCUGAUCCUGUGGUGUGCUGUCCUGAUCCUGGUCCGGUUGCUGAUUAAAUUCCGGGUUCCAGCGUAGCAGUUGUUCCGGGGAAUAUGUGGCCGAAAGUUUACCUUUCUUUCUCUUUUUGAAAAUUUAACUCAAAAUUUGAAUGAGUUGGAACCCCAUUAAAUUUAAAUUUUAGCCUGAAAUAUUUGAAGCUAUUGCUUUUCAGAAAAUAACAGCAUGACUUGGCUGGUUUAAAUAAGUGAAAAUAUUUCAAACAUAAAGAACUUGAAAUAAUUUCACUGUUACCGAGAUCCCGAAUGUAUUACGCCAAAUGGUAAAGUGUGAUUUUUCUUUACAAUCUUUUGUAUUAAGCACUUAUAUCUGGGACCUUAUGCAAGUACAGCUAAUGUGGGUUAUUUGUAAGGUAUGUAAUUGCCUUACAAAUAUCCUAACAAUUUCAGCUUAAGUAAAUUUAGAAAAUGACUGCUUUCCUUCAACCAAUGUCAUGUCAUAAACAUUAAAGUAUUUGUUCCAACAUUAUUUAGGAAUUAAACAAAGCAUUACCACAUUAUUUGUCCUUGCAUCAUGUCAAAGAUUUAAUAAAAGUUGUUUGUUUAAUUGCUAGAUUCAUUUUCAGGUCGAAGCAGAAAAGUUCAGUUUGUGAAGUAGUAAUUUUGUAGAUUGAUGUCUGAUUUAUUAGAAAAAUAAAAAUUUAUCAACUGUCAUGAAAUAAA